CCCUUAAAUGUUCUGGGCCGCACGCGCGCUACACUGAUGCAUUCAACGAGUUUCUUCCUGGUCCGAGAGGAAUGGGUAACCUUUUGAAAGUGCAUCGUGAUAGGGAUAGACUAUUGCAAUUAUUGGUCUUCAACGAGGAAUUCCUAGUAGACGUAGUUCAUCAGACUGCAUCGAUUACGUCCCUGCCCUUUGUACACACCGCCCGUCGCUCCUACCGAUUGAAUGCUCAGGUGAGCCAUUCGGACUUUCAUCAUGCUGGUUUCCAGUUUUGAUGAAGGAAAGUCUUGCGAACCUUAUCAUUUAGAGGAAGGAGAAGUCGUAACA
rnacentral:rRNA from 1 species